rnacentral:lncRNA from 1 species
AAAGCUAUUGUUGUUCCUUCAUUGUUGUUAGCUUACUCCUGGAAUAUCACUGUGGCCAUGGUUACUCCAAACAUUCCUGGAAAGAGGAAAGGGUAUUAUCAUCGGUACCACAGGAAAGAAGUGGGAAAGGAGAUUAAGGUGUGUGUGGAAGGGCUCAUCCGCAGGAGGUGCAUCCACAACGUAUCAAGCUGAGGGAUAUUUGAUCUGUGCUAUUGAAGAGUAAGCUCUCAGCAGCCUGAAGUUCCCCAGCAUCCUCGGUUAUACUUCUUUAAAUCAGAGUGAGAGACCUAUCAGUGAACUGGCCCCAAAAGAGAGGUAAAUUUAUAUGGCUGCCGAAAGAGAAUAUUGUUACUCUAAAGAUCUCAGGUAAGAAGAGCUCCUUUUUUCUGAGACUAACAGAGGAUUGUGCUUUUUAGCAGUUGCUGUCAGAAGACCCAGUCACCCUCCUCUUUUCUCUGUACCCUCAUUCCUGUUACUCAAAAUCCACACCAACACUUACAUCAUCGUGUUACAUUGUGAUGGUUAAUUUUAUGUGUCACCUUGAUGGACCAUGAGAUGCAUAAUGCGCUGGUUAAAUGUUCUGUAUUUUUGUGGCCAUUUUUUUAUUUGACCAACCUCUGAAUGGGCAGCCCAAGUAAAGCACAUGGCCCUCUACAAAGGGAGUGGGCUGCAUCUUUUACUGUGAGUGUAAAGUUUAGUCAGACUAAAAUAAAUACGCAGACUAUUUAUCUUGAUUGAUGAGUUGAGGCCAUUGACAUUGAUGGUUAUAACUGAUAUAU